AUUUCACGUCUUAAAAAGUGUGAAGUAGUCUUCUGUUUGAAAUGGAAGGAAAAUUGACAGAAAAGGUCUUGCUUCUCUUUUCAACUGUUGGAAUGAAAUAAUUAUAUAGGGCCAUGUGUCUGAAGAGACAUCUGUGCAGCCGCCAUUUUGGUUUUCCUGUUUAUGUUGAACUUGACCUCUGAACCCUGACCUCCUGCAUAAUCUUGUUUUUUUUCCUUGCAUUGGUUUUCUAUUUGGACAUGCUGUGCACACUCCAAUGAGAAGAGGCCCCAUGUGACAUGUCUCAGCCAAUCAGAGAUGAGUGCACUACGUGCCUGAAUAAAAAAGCAACACAUCAUUUUUCCCUUUUUUUUUGGUUACAAUUUGAGCCUCACCAUGUUUUCCUGAAUCCAUUAUGCACUAGUCUAAUAAACUUCAUUUGUUUUGACGUA